rnacentral:rRNA from 1 species
GACGAACGCGGCGGCGUGCCUAAUACAUGCAAGUAGAACGCUGAAGGAAGGAGCUUGCUCUUUCUGGAUGAGUUGCGAACGGGUGAGUAACGCGUAGGUAACCUGCCUGGUAGCGGGGGAUAACUAUUGGAAACGAUAGCUAAUACCGCAUAAAAUGGAUUAUCGCAUGAUAAUUCAUUGAAAGGUGCAAAUGCAUCACUACCAGAUGGACCUGCGUUGUAUUAGCUAGUUGGUGGGGUAACGGCUCACCAAGGCGACGAUACAUAGCCGACCUGAGAGGGUGAUCGGCCACACUGGGACUGAGACACGGCCCAGACUCCUACGGGAGGCAGCAGUAGGGAAUCUUCGGCAAUGGACGGAAGUCUGACCGAGCAACGCCGCGUGAGUGAAGAAGGUUUUCGGGUGUAAAGCUUCUGUUGUAAGAGAAGAACGAGUGUGAGAGU